rnacentral:rRNA from 1 species
GAUGAACGCUGGCGGCGUGCCUAAUACAUGCAGGACGAGCGAACGGACGAGAAGCUUGCUUCUCUGAUGUUAGCGGCGGACGGGUGAGUAACACGUGGAUAACCUACCUAUAAGACUGGGAUAACUUCGGGAAACCGGAGCUAAUACCGGAUAAUAUUUUGAACCGCAUGGUUCAAAAGUGAAAGACGGUCUUGCUGUCACUUAUAGAUGGAUCCGCGCUGCAUUAGCUAGUUGGUAAGGUAACGGCUUACCAAGGCAACGAUGCAUAGCCGACCUGAGAGGGUGAUCGGCCACACUGGAACUGAGACGCGGUCCAGACUCCUACGGGAGGCAGCAGUAGGGAAUCUUCCGCAAUGGGCGAAAGCCUGACGGAGCAACGCCGCGUGAGUGAUGAAGGUCUUCGGAUCGUAAAACUCUGUUAUUAGGGAAGAACAUAUGUGUAAGUAACUGUGCACAGCUUGACGGUACCUAAUCAGAAAGCCACGGCUAACUACGUG